GAUGAACGCUGGCGGCGUGCCUAAUACAUGCAAGUCGAGCGAACAGACGAGGAGCUUGCUCCUCUGACGUUAGCGGCGGACGGGUGAGUAACACGUGGAUAACCUACCUAUAAGACUGGGAUAACUUCGGGAAACCGGAGCUAAUACCGGAUAAUAUAUUGAACCGCAUGGUUCAAUAGUGAAAGACGGUUUUGCUGCCACUUAUAGAUGGAUCCGCGCCGCAUUAGCUAGUUGGUAAGGUAACGGCUUACCAAGGCAACGAUGCGUAGCCGACCUGAGAGGGUGAUCGGCCACACUGGAACUGAGACACGGUCCAGACUCCUACGGGAGGCAGCAGUAGGGAAUCUUCCGCAAUGGGCGAAAGCCUGACGGAGCAACGCCGCGUGAGUGAUGAAGGUCUUCGGAUCGUAAAACUCUGUUAUUAGGGAAGAACAAAUGUGUAAGUAACUAUGCACGUCUUGACGGUACCUAAUCAGAAAGCCACGGCUAACUACGUG
rnacentral:rRNA from 1 species